rnacentral:rRNA from 1 species
GGUUAAGCGACUAAGCGUACACGGUGGAUGCCCUGGCAGUCAGAGGCGAUGAAGGACGUGCUAAUCUGCGAAAAGCGCCGGCGAGGUGAUAUGAACCUUUGACCCGGCGAUGUCCGAAUGGGGAAACCCAGUGCAAUCCGUUGCACUAUCGUUAACUGAAUACAUAGGUUAACGAGGCGAACCGGGGGAACUGAAACAUCUAAGUACCCCGAGGAAAAGAAAUCAACCGAGAUUCCCCCAGUAGCGGCGAGCGAACGGGGAGCAGCCCGGAGUCUGAAUCAGCUUGUGUGUUAGUGGAACGGUCUGGAAAGUCCGACGGUACAGGGUGAUAGUCCCGUACACGAAAGCACAUGCUGUGAACUCGAAGAGUAGGGCGGGACACGUGGUAUCCUGUCUGAAUAUGGGGGGACCAUCCUCCAAGGCUAAAUACUCCUGACUGACCGAUAGUGAACCAGUACCGUGAGGGAAAGGCGAAAAGAACCCCGGCGAGGGGAGUGAAAAAGAACCUGAAACCGUGUACGUACAAGCAGUGGGAGCCUCUUUAUGGGGUGACUGCGUACCUUUUGUAUAAUGGGUCAGCGACUUAUAUUCUGUAGCAAGGUUAACCGUAUAGGGGAGCCGAAGGGAAACCGAGUCUUAACUGGGCGUUAAGUUGCAGGGUAUAGACCCGAAACCCGGUGAUCUAGCCAUGGGCAGGUUGAAGGUUGGGUAACACUAACUGGAGGACCGAACCGACUAAUGUUGAAAAAUUAGCGGAUGACCUGUGGCUGGGGGUGAAAGGCCAAUCAAACCGGGAGAUAGCUGGUUCUCCCCGAAAGCUAUUUAGGUAGCGCCUCGUGAACUCAUCUUCGGGGGUAGAGCACUGUUUCGGCUAGGGGGCCAUCCCGGCUUACCAACCCGAUGCAAACUACGAAUACCGAAGAAUGUUAUCACGGGAGACACACGGCGGGUGCUAACGUCCGUCGUGAAGAGGGAAACAACCCAGACCGCCAGCUAAGGUCCCAAAGUCAUGGUUAAGUGGGAAACGAUGUGGGAAGGCACAGACAGCCAGGAUGUUGGCUUAGAAGCAGCCAUCAUUUAAAGAAAGCGUAAUAGCUCACUGGUCGAGUCGGCCUGCGCGGAAGAUGUAACGGGGCUAAACCAUGCACCGAAGCUGCGGCAGCGACACUAUGUGUUGUUGGGUAGGGGAGCGUUCUGUAAGCCGUUGAAGGUGUGCUGUGAGGCAUGCUGGAGGUAUCAGAAGUGCGAAUGCUGACAUAAGUAACGAUAAAGCGGGUGAAAAGCCCGCUCGCCGGAAGACCAAGGGUUCCUGUCCAACGUUAAUCGGGGCAGGGUGAGUCGACCCCUAAGGCGAGGCCGAAAGGCGUAGUCGAUGGGAAACAGGUUAAUAUUCCUGUACUUGGUGUUACUGCGAAGGGGGGACGGAGAAGGCUAUGUCAGCCGGGCGACGGUUGUCCCGGUUUAAGCAUGUAGGCGGAGGUUCCAGGUAAAUCCGGUACCUU